rnacentral:rRNA from 1 species
AUGCUUCAAAACUAUGAAACUCUGAAGAACCUCACAGGUGCUCAAGCCAAUGUGAUUAGGAACUUGAAGUUUAAUCAUUUGAAGGAGAAGGAGAGGCUGACAGAAGAGAGGCUUAAACUGCAGUAUCACAUUUCUGAGCUUGGAAAGUCUGAGGAAAAGAUAAAGUUGAAGCUUCAGGGUGUGAAGGCCAUAUUAGAUGAGUAG